rnacentral:rRNA from 1 species
UCGAACGGACUUAACCGAUAGUUUACUAUUGGAGCGGUUAGUGGCGGACUGGUGAGUAACACGUAAGCAACCUGCCUAUCAGAGGGGAACAACAGUUAGAAAUGACUGCUAAUACCGCAUAUGCCUAAGUAUCACAUGAUACAAUAGGGAAAGGAGCAAUCCGCUGAUAGAUGGGCUUGCGUCUGAUUAGAUAGUUGGUGGGGCAACGGCCUACCAAGUCAACGAUCAGUAGCCGAACUGAGAGGUUGAACGGCCACAUUGGGACUGAGAUACGGCCCAGACUCCUACGGGAGGCAGCAGUCGGGAAUAUUGCGCAAUGGAGGAAACUCUGACGCAGUGACGCCGCGUGCAGGAAGAAGGCUUUCGGAUUGUAAACUGCUUUAGACAGGGAAGGAAAAAGACAGUACCUGUAGAAUAAGCUCCGGCUAACUACGUGCCAGCAGCCGCGGUAAUACGUAGGGAGCAAGCGUUAUCCGGAUUUAUUGGGUGUAAAGGGAGCGCAGGCGGGACUGCAAGUUGGAUGUGAAAUACCGCAGCUUAACUGCGGAGCUGCAUCCAAAACUGUAGUUCUUGAGUGAAGUAGAGGUGGGCGGAAUUCCGAGUGUAGCGGUGAAAUGCGUAGAUAUUCGGAGGAACACCGGUGGCGAAGGCGGCCUACUGGGCUUUUACUGACGCUGAGGCUCGAAAGUGUGGGGAGCAAACAGGAUUAGAUACCGUGGUAGUUCACACUGUAAACGAUGAUUUCUAGGCGGGAAGAGUAUAGACC